rnacentral:hammerhead_ribozyme from 1 species
AUUCAUCUGACGAGUCCCGAAUAGGACGAAAUGCGCGUCCUAGAU